rnacentral:rRNA from 1 species
GAUGAACGCUGGCGGCGUGCAUAACACAUUCAAGUCGAACGGAGUAAUUCCGUUCGGGGAUUACUUAGCGGCGGACGGGUGAGUAACGCGUGAGCAAUCUGUCCUACACGAGGGGGAUAACAGCUGGAAACAGCUGCUAAUACCGCAUAAGACCACAGUACCGCAUGGCACGAAGGGUACAAAGAUUUAUCGGUGUAGGGUGAGCUCGCGUCCCAUUAGAUAGUUGGCGGGGUAACGGCCCACCAAGUCGACGAUGGGUAGCCGACCUGAGAGGGUGAUCGGCCACACUGGGACUGAGACACGGCCCAGACUCCUACGGGAGGCAGCAGGUGGGGAAUAUUGGGCAAUGGGGGAAACCCUGACCCAGCAACGCCGCGUGAAGGAAGAAGGCCUUCGGGUUGUAAACUUCUUUUAGUAGGGACGAAUACGUGACGGUACCUACAGAAAAAGCAACGGCUAACUACGUG